rnacentral:rRNA from 1 species
AUUGAACGCCGGCGGAAUGCUUUACACAUGCAAGUCGAACGGCAGCACGGGGGCAACCCUGGUGGCGAGUGGCGAACGGGUGAGUAAUACAUCGGAACGUGCCCAGUCGUGGGGGAUAACGUAGCGAAAGUUACGCUAAUACCGCAUACGAUCUACGGAUGAAAGCGGGGGACCGUAAGGCCUCGCGCGAUUGGAGCGGCCGAUGUCAGAUUAGGUAGUUGGUGAGGUAAAGGCUCACCAAGCCAACGAUCUGUAGCUGGUCUGAGAUGACGGCCCGCCACACUGGAACUGAUACACGGUCUAGACUCCUACGGGAGGCAGCAGUGGGGAAUUUUGGACAAUGGGCGAAAGCCUGGUCCAGCCAUUCCGCGUGCAGGAUGAAGGCCCUCGGGUUGUAAACUGCUUUUGUACAGAACGAAAAGGUUUCUACUAAUACUAGGAGCUCAUGACGGUACUGUAAGAAUAAGCACCGGCUAACUACGUGCCAGCCGCCGCAGUAA